rnacentral:rRNA from 1 species
UACGUAGGGAGCAAGCGUUGUCCGGAUUUAUUGGGCGUAAAGCGCUCGCAGGUGGUUCGAUACGUCGUGCGUGAAAGACCCCGGCUCAACUGGGGAGUGUCGUGCGAUACGGUCGGACUGGAGGCCAGUAGGGGGAUGCGGAAUUCCGGGUGUAGUGGUGGAAUGCGUAGAGAUCCGGAGGAACACCAGCGGCGAAGGCGGCAUCCUGGACUGGUCCUGACACUCAUGAGCGAAAGCGUGGGGAGCGAUCCGG